UAAUCUUUCGUCUGAUUAGCCUCCAAUGUUAUGAACUGUAUUGAGAUAUGAGAACGCAGAUGUUUUGAUUCAUCCCCAUGUAUUUGUUUACUAGUAGUGGUAUAUGUCAAAAGAAGAAGAUGGUUUUGGUCCAAAGAAAACAGAUUUCAUUACUGAUGGAGCUUCUAGGAAAUUCAAGGACUUGGCAGACACCGUGGAAGUUGAUCAAGACUGGUCACGAUUCUUUCGAGAGGACCGGCACUUAUUUACUCGCAAGAAGGUUUCGUGUUUGGGGCAGCUUUCUACACCUCUGUACCGGCAGAUUUGUAAGACUGGAAGUUGUUUCAUUGUUGAGAGAGAUGGAUAUGGUGUAUUGUUAGAAAAUAUUUCAACAUAAAUCUUCCAGGAGCUGGAGAUGUGACUUGAUGACAGAAACGAAUUAGUAACUUUG